CCUACGGGGGGCAGCAGUGAGGAAUAUUGGUCAAUGGGCGAGAGCCUGAACCAGCCAAGUCGCGUGAACGAGGAAGGUCUUCGGAUCGUAAAGUUCUGUUGAAGGGGAAAAAGAGCGGAGAGAGGAAAUGAACUCCGAUUGAUAUUACCCUUCGAGGAAGUCACGGCUAACUACGUGCCAGCAGCCGCGGUAAUACGUAGGUGGCGAGCGUUAUCCGGAAUGAUUGGGCGUAAAGGGUGCGUAGGCGGCCUGCUAAGUCUGGAGUGAAAGGUACCGGCUCAACCGGUACAGGCUCUGGAAACUGG
rnacentral:rRNA from 1 species